rnacentral:rRNA from 2 species
UUCAAAUUGAGAGUUUGAUCCUGGCUCAGGAUGAACGCUGGCGGCGUGCCUAAUACAUGCAAG